rnacentral:misc_RNA from 1 species
CGAAAUGCGAUAAGUAAUGUGAAUUGCAGAAUUCAGUGAAUCAUCGAAUCUUUGAACGCACAUUGCGCCCGCCAGUAUUCUGGCGGGCAUGCCUGUCCGAGCGUCAUUUCAACCAUCAAGCCCCCGGGCUUGUGUUGGGGACCUGCGGCUGCCCGCAGGCCCUGAAAACCAGUGGCGGGCUCGCUGUCACACCGAGCGUAGUAGCAAUCACCUCGCUCAGGGCUUGCUGCGGGUUCCGGCCGUUAAACAGCCUUACAAAACCCAAGGUUGACCUCGGAUCAGGUAGGAAGACCCGCUGAACUUAAGC